CGGGUUUGACGGAAGUGAAGCAGGCCUUGUGCUUUCCCACCGCGACGGGGAUGACGCUGUCCGUCGUCCUGCUCGGGCUGCGGCUGCACUGGAAGACCCCUUUGGAGAGGCG
rnacentral:ribozyme from 1 species